rnacentral:rRNA from 1 species
GAUGAACGCUGGCGGCGUGCCUAAUACAUGCAAGUCGAGCGAACAGACGAGGAGCUUGCUCCUCUGACGUUAGCGGCGGACGGGUGAGUAACACGUGGAUAACCUACCUAUAAGACUGGGAUAACUUCGGGAAACCGGGGCUAAUACCGGAUAAUAUAUUGAACCGCAUGGUUCAAUAGUGAAAGACGGUUUUGCUGUCACUUAUAGAUGGAUCCGCGCCGCAUUAGCUAGUUGGUAAGGUAACGGCUUACCAAGGCAGCGAUGCGUAGCCGACCUGAGAGGGUGAUCGGCCACACUGGAACUGAGACACGGUCCAGACUCCUACGGGAGGCAGCAGUAGGGAAUCUUCCGCAAUGGGCGAAAGCCUGACGGAGCAACGCCGCGUGAGUGAUGAAGGUCUUCGGAUCGUAAAACUCUGUUAUUAGGGAAGAACAAAUGUGUAAGUAACUAUGCACGUCUUGACGGUACCUAAUCAGAAAGCCACGGCUAACUACGUG